CCUACGGGAGGCAGCAGUGAGGAAUAUUGGUCAAUGGGCGGAAGCCUGAACCAGCCAAGUAGCGUGCAGGAUGACGGCCCUACGGGUUGUAAACUGCUUUUAUACGGGAAUAACGCGCCUUACGUGUAGGGCCUUGCAUGUACCGUAUGAAUAAGGACCGGCUAAUUCCGUGCCAGCAGCCGCGGUAAUACGGAAGGUCCGGGCGUUAUCCGGAUUUAUUGGGUUUAAAGGGAGCGUAGGCCGGAUGUCAAGCGUGCUGUGAAAUGUCCGGGCUCAACCCGGGCCUUGCAGCGCGAACUGGCGUGCUUGAGUCCGCGGAAAGCAGGCGGAAUUCGUCGUGUAGCGGUGAAAUGCUUAGAUAUGACGAAGAACCCCGAUUGCGAAGGCAGCUUGCUGCAGCGGAACUGACGCUGAUGCUCGAAAGCGCGGGGAUCGAACAGGAUUAGAUACCCUUGUAGUC
rnacentral:rRNA from 1 species